ACGUAGGGUGCGAGCGUUAAUCGGAAUUACUGGGCGUAAAGCGUGCGCAGGCGGUUUUGUAAGACAGAUGUGAAAUCCCCCGGCUUAACCUGGGAACUGCGUUUGAGACUGCGAGACUAGAGUACGGGAGAGGGGGGCGGAAUUCCUGGUGUAGGAGUGAAAUGCGUAGAUAUCAGGAGGAACACCGAUGGCGAAGGCGGCCAACUGGACAGGUACUGACGCUGAUGCGCGAAAGCGUGGGGUGCAAACAG
rnacentral:rRNA from 1 species